AUUGAACGCUGGCGGCAGGCCUAACACAUGCAAGUCGAGCGGAUGAAGGGAGCUUGCUCCUGGAUUCAGCGGCGGACGGGUGAGUAAUGCCUAGGAAUCUGCCUGGUAGUGGGGGAUAACGUCCGGAAACGGGCGCUAAUACCGCAUACGUCCUGAGGGUGAAAGUGGGGGAUCUUCGGACCUCACGCUAUCAGAUGAGCCUAGGUCGGAUUAGCUAGUUGGUGGGGUAAAGGCCUACCAAGGCGACGAUCCGUAACUGGUCUGAGAGGAUGAUCAGUCACACUGGAACUGAGACACGGUCCAGACUACUACGGGAGGCAGCAGUGGGGAAUAUUGGACAAUGGGCGAAAGCCUGAUCCAGCCAUGCCGCGUGUGUGAAGAAGGUCUUCGGAUUGUAAAGCACUUUAAGUUGGGAGGAAGGGCAGUAAGUUAAUACCUUGCUGUUUUGACGGUACCAACAGAAUAAGCACCGGCUAACUUCGUG
rnacentral:rRNA from 1 species